CAAUAACGAAAAUAAUAAUCUCGCAAUUAUAUAUAAAGAAAGUGGUGCAAAUAAAAGUGAAGAACAAAAGAUAAAAAGGGGUAAAAAAAAAAAAAAAGACAAAGUGAAAAUACAAAUAGUUGAUGGGGAUGUAAAAAAGGAGGGAAACAGUAGGCACACUAGUGGACAAGUAAGUGAACAAACCAGUGGCCACGACAGUAAACAUGGAGGUACAUACGGAAGUACAUACGAAAGUACACACGGAAGUACACACGAAAGUACAUACGGAAGUACAUACGGAAGUAAAUACGGAAGUAAAUACGGAAGUAAAUACGGAAGUAGGAGUAAAAGUAUUCACGUAAGUAGGCACGAAACUAAGCAUGAAGAUCAGAGCAAAAGUAGGAGCAAAAGUAGGUACAUAAGUAGAUACGUAAGUAUGCACUUAAGUAGGCAUGGAAGUAGAAAGGGAAGUAAAAGGACAAGUAGACAGGAAAGUGCGGCUGACAACACGGAUGCUCAGAGUAAUAAUGGUACUUCCAUAUAUGACAGUAACUACGAUAAUAAAUAUAGCGACAGUAGUUUAAACAGUAGUGAACGUAGCAAUAGUAAGCAUAGUAAUAGUAAGCGUAGUGGUCAAUAUAAUAACAGACAUGAUGAAGAUGUAAAUGACUUGAAUAAUAUUUAUGUUCAUAUAAAAGAGGAUCCUAAAAACGUAGAUACCAGUGCCAUUAUAGAUAAUGUUAACAUAUAUAAAAGGUUAAAACUAGAUUUUUAUAAUUUUUUUACUACAAACGAUUUUUAUAACAAUAUGAUUACUCACUUAGAUACUAAUAGUUUUAUAUAUUUAAUAAAAAUCUUAAUUAUAAAAACUGCUUAUAACGAACAAAAUGAAUACAAUAAUAGUAACACCAAUUACAACAUUACCAAUCAAAAUAAUGUUAAAAAUGAAUUACAAAUUCCUGGUUUUAAAACACAGAGUUUUUCAAGUCAUAAUAAUCAAAUGCAUGAUAAACAUAAAAUUAAUGACACAACAUUUAACGAUUUUAAUCAUUUAUUAAUAAAUUCGGACAAUGCAUUUAAUAUAUUUAGCUUAAAGAAACAAAAGUUAUUUACAUCACAAAUGUUACUCCAUAUUAUGUAUUUUAAAAUUAAUUAUACAUAUGUAUUGUAUAAUAUGAUUUGUCAAAUAAAUAUGAAAUUGGAUAGAGGAAGGAAAGAUAAAACGGAUUAUAGAACAGGAGAUUGUGAUGAUGUGUUAGGGGGUAAUACGUUGGGUCAUGUUGAUUCGGAAAUGAAGCAGCAAGAUGUAUCAGACAAAGACAUGCCAAGUGGUACAAUUCCAAGUGGUACAAUGCCAAGUGGUACAAUGCCAAGUGGUACAAUGCCAAGUGAUACAGUACCAAGUGGUACACCACUACUAAAUGACACACCACUCAACAAAUAUAGCAUCACUUUAGAUAACAUAUACGAUACGGAUAAUUCGGACGACCUUUCAACCACUACCAGUGCCAUAAACGAAGAUAGUGACUUUUUUUUAAUAAACCGAAACAAAAUAUCAUCAAAUAAUAUGGAAGAACGUUUGACAUUUUUUUUUGGUUAUGAUAAGAAAGAAACAGAAAAGAGUGAAAAAGUAGUACACGAAAAAAAUUGUGACGAAAAAAAUUGUGACGAAGUGAAUAAUGGCGAAGUAAAUAAUGACGAACUAAGUAAGGACGAACUAAGUAAGGACGAACUAAGUAAAGAAGAACUAAGUAAGGACGAACUAAAUGAUUAUGAACAAUUUGAAAAAUUAUUUUCAUACGCAGAUGAUGAUGUUGUUAUCACUAAUGAGGAUCAAAUACAAUUUGAUAAUAAAAAUUCUAAGAACGUAGAAUACGAAAAAAGUGUGAAUAACGUAAAAAUAUCUAAACCGAAAAAUAAAACAAAACGAAACAGAAACGGGGAUGGUAACAAAAAAAAAAGAAUAAAUACAGCUCGAUUUGAACUUUACACC
ensembl:lncRNA